rnacentral:rRNA from 1 species
GGCGAAUGAAGCGGGAAAAGCUCAAGUUUGAAAUCUGGCGGGCGCAGAGUUGUAGGCUGACGAGGCGUCGACCGACUGGCCCGCUCAAUUUCCUUGGAACAGGAGGUCAUGGAGGGUGAGAACCCCGUCUGUGCUCGAGGCCCGUCUGUGUCGUGCCCUCCAAGAGUCGGGUUGUUUGGGAAUGCAGCUCAAAAUGGGUGGUAAAUUUCACUAAAGCUAAAUACUGGCGAGAGACCGAUAGCGAAAAAGUAGAGUGAUCUAAAGAUGAAAAGCACUUUGAAAAGAGAGUGAAACAGUACGUGAAAUUGUUGAAAGGAAGCGCUUGCAUCAGCCCGUGGCGCCCGUCCACACCCAGGCUUUGCCUUGCACUGGGCCGCGUCGGGUCAGCGUCGGUUUGUCCGCCGAGAAGGUCGGGGGGACGUGGCUCCUCGGGAGCGUAUACCCCCCGGCGUCAUGCGGCGUGGCGAGGUCGAGGUCUGCGGUUCACCAGGACGCUGGCUUAAUGGUCCCAAGCGACCCGUCUUGAAACACGGACCAAGGAGUCUAACAUCUAUGCGAGUGUUUGGGUGUCAAGCCCGUCCGCGCAAUGAAAGUGAAUGCAGGCGGGAGCGUUUGCGCACCGUCGACCGGUCCGGGGGACCGAAGGAUCCGAGUAAGAGCAUAGCUGUUGGGACCCGAAAGAUGGUGAACUAUGCCUGAAUA